GAAAUGCGAUAAGUAAUGUGAAUUGCAGAAUUCAGUGAAUCAUCGAGUCUUUGAACGCACAUUGCGCCCUCUGGUAUUCCGGGGGGCAUGCCUGUCCGAGCGUCAUUGCUGCCCUCAAGCACGGCUUGUGUGUUGGGUCCCCCGUCCCGGUUCUCCAGCCGGGACGGGCCCGAAAGGCAGCGGCGGCACCGUGUCCGGUCCUCGAGUGUAUGGGGCUCUGUCACCCACUCGUGUAGGCCCGGCCGGCGGCCAGCCUCUUCAACCAAAACGUUUUUUUUAACCAGGUUGACCUCGGAUCAGGUAGGGAUACCCGCUGAACUUAA
rnacentral:misc_RNA from 1 species